CCCCUGUUUUACGGUGUACAUUUUAGGACAUCCUCAGAUCUCAGUCAUCAAAUGAAAAGGCGUCAUGCCUCAGACUAAAAGGCUUCAGUCAUCGGACAAAACGGCAUCGCGUCUCUGACUGAAAAGCUUCAGGUCUCAGGAAAAACGACGUCAGGUGUCAGGUCUCAUACAAUUAACGUUAGGCAUCAGACGAAACAGACUCAGAAAAAAAGUCAUCAGACGAAACGGACUCAGACAAAAAGUCAUCAAACGAAAAGGACUCAGGUGGAGAAUCGCGUUGCCCCGCCCCAUGUGACGUCACACGCACGCCGUUCACAGGAAGUAGUAAUGGUUGAUUGAUGGCAAAAGGAGUCAAUCAAGUUAUCGCUGACAUUUUCUGGGUAAGCGUGGCUAUGCUGAGCAGGACGAUUACCUGGAUUCACUACCCAUUUAGAUUUCCAGGCAACAAAUAAGCUCCUCCAUGCCAGAGAAUUACUGUUCGUUCAAUCAAAACCUGCAUGUCAUCCUGGACUGUACAGAAAUCUGCUGUGAAAGCCCUACAUCACUGAAACUCCACUCUGAAGUUAUAAGUGCACUACCACAUUCAAAGGUCUGGUUGGGGUAGCUCUGUGUGGUGCAGUGGAGAUGUGGUUAUGGCAGACAAGGGGUUCACUAUUGAAUAUAUGCUCUCCAGUAUUGGUGCUAGACGGAUCAUUCCACCUUUCAAAUGUGCCAAGCAGUUCAGCAAACAGGACUGUGAAAAAACACAGGACCACUGCACGCCUCAGACUUCUGGUGGAAAGAGUGAUUCGAAGGGUCAAGGAAAUACACAUCUGGGAUUCUGUUGUGCCACUCACCUUGUCAGGAAGAAUUAAUCAGAUCUGGCAUAAUUGCUGUUUUAUGGUUUAUUAUCAGGGACCAAUGUUUCUUGAGCAGUGAAUCUAUAUUAUUACAAUAGUAGUGUUACAGUGUUAACAUUUGAUAGUAGUUUUUUAUUUAUUACAUUUUUUUACCUUUUCAGUUAGUUGCAAUGCAUACCUACCACCAUUAAAUGUGUUUUUCCUUUUUUUAUUGUAAUGUAAAAUUGUAUAUUUUGUAUAAUGAAAUUAUUUAAAUAAAAUGUCCCUGAAAAUAAUUUCACAGACACAAUGAAA